rnacentral:lncRNA from 1 species
UCAAGGUCAUAAUAUUUUACUCACCAUGCUGGUCCUUGCUUUGCUCUGAUCACAAAUAUAGACUAGGUCAGUGGGUGCUUUUUUCACUCCAAUGGACUGUUCUUAAAAGAUACACAGAGCUGAGCUUUCAUCUGCCAAUAACGAGUCUAAUGGAAACUCAGCCUCUCAGCAGCAAGAUACAGGACUCAACAAUGGAAGAAUCCCAUGACUGACCAUUAAUCCCAAAGCUCUUCUC